GGGCGCUAUACAUGCAGUCGAGCGAGAAGACGUAGCAAUACGUUUGUAAAGCGGCGAACGGGUGAGGAAUACAUGGGUAACCUACCCUCGAGUGGGGAAUAACUAGCCGAAAGGUUAGCUAAUACCGCGUACGCUUCUUGGACUUCGGUUCAGGGAGGAAAGCGAUACCGUGGGUAUCGCGCUCUUGGAUGGGCUCAUGUCCUAUCAGCUUGUUGGUGAGGUAACGGCUCACCAAGGCUUCGACGGGUAGCUGGUCUGAGAGGACGAUCAGCCACACUGGCACUGCGACACGGGCCAGACUCCUACGGGAGGCAGCAGUAAGGAAUAUUGCGCAAUGGGCGAAAGCCUGACGCAGCGACGCCGCGUGGGGGAUGAAGGUCUUCGGAUUGUAAACCCCUUUCGGGAGGGAAGAUGGAAUGGGGUAACCCAUUCGGACGGUACCUCCAGAAGCAGCCACGGCUAACUUCGUGCCAGCAGCCGCGGUAAUACGAAGGUGGCAAGCGUUGUUCGGAUUUACUGGGCGUACAGGGAGCGUAGGCGGUUCGGUAAGCCCUCUGUGAAAUCUCCAGGCUUAACCUGGAACAGUCGGAGGGGACUGCUGGGCUAGAGGGCGGGAGAGGAGCGCGGAAUUCCCGGUGUAGCGGUGAAAUGCGUAGAGAUCGGGAGGAAGGCCGGUGGCGAAGGCGGCGCUCUGGGAACGUUUCCGACGCUGAGGCUCGAAAGCGUGGGGAGCAAACAGGAUUAGAUACCCUGGUAGUCCACGCCUUUAAACUAUGAAUACUAAGUGUCGGCGGGUUACCCGCCGGUGCCGCAGCUAACGCAUUAAGUAUUCCGCCUGGGAAGUACGGCCGCAAGGUUG
rnacentral:rRNA from 1 species